rnacentral:rRNA from 1 species
UACGAAGGGGGCUAGCGUUGUUCGGAUUUACUGGGCGUAAAGCGCACGUAGGCGGAUUGUUAAGUCGGGGGUGAAAUCCUGGAGCUCAACUUCAGAAUUGCCUUCGAUACUGGCUUUCUAGAGGCUGGAAGAGGUUAGUGGAAUUCCCAGUGUAGAGGUGAAGUUCGUAGAUAUUGGGAAGAACACCAGUGGCGAAGGCGGCUAACUGGUCCAGAUCUGACGCUGAGGUGCGAAAGCGUGGGGAGCAAACAGG